rnacentral:rRNA from 1 species
UCAAAGGUUUCAGAAGCAAAUAGACAGUGGAACAAGACCAUAGCCAGGACUAACUGCGGGGCUAAAAUUAGGAUGAAGAAGGAAAAGGAUGGAACACAAGUCGUAAAAGAGAUAAUCUGGGAACACAACCACAGGCUACAGCUCACCACAGAAAUGCUUGUCUUUUUGCACUCCCACAAAAACAUUGACAAGACAAUCUUGGAGUACGUCAAGUACUUGCAGUUCAAAGGCAUUGAACACACGCAAAUCAUGAGCAUACUAGACGGCGAUGACCCCGGUAGCUACUUCCUCGAAAUGAAUGCCAAAGACCUAAUUAACAUCAAAGCAAAGAAUUCAAGGAUGGAUGACGUGGACGAUGUCCUGAAGACUGUCAACUUCUUUAGGGAGAUGAAAGCAAUAAACAGGGAAUUCUUCUGCGACAUAGAACUUGAUGAGUCCGACAGAGUGAAGAACAUAUUCUGGGCAAACGCGAGCUGCCGAGGGGCAUACCAAGACUUUGGUGACUGCGUGACGUUUGACACCACGUAUAAGACCAACAAAUACCAUAUGCCACUUGGAGUGUUUGUGGGUACUAACAACCACUUUCAGACUACAAUCUUUGCUUUCGCCCUGAUAAGAGAUGAGGAUGUAGAUUCAUUCAGAUGGCACCAGUGCCCAGCAAUGGCUUUGGCGAUCCCAGAUGUUUUCAAGAACAUAGUACAUUAGCUAUGCCGCUGGCACAUUAUGAAGAAGUACAGGGAACACCUCGCGUACUUGUACAACCUCCACCAAACCUUUAAGGAUGAAUUCACAACAAUCCUCAACUGCCCCCUCAUGCCAACUGAGUUUGAGACUGCCUGGAAAGAUCUCAUGGAUAGGUACAACCUCCAUGAUGAUGCCACGAUGGUGGCAAUGUGGAACGAGCGCCAGAAAUGGAUAUCAGCUUACUUAAAAGAAAUUUUCUAUGCCAGAAUGACAUUGACACAACGAAGUGAGAGCAUGAACUAUGUGCUGAAGAAGAACUACGUAUGUGAGAGACAAAACCUGCACCGGUUUGUCAGCCAGGUAAACACCUGCGUCAAAAACAGGAGGCAGGCAGAAAACAAGGAGACAAUGGGUAACCGGAAUAAAACAAACACGCUGACCCUCUAUGGGUUUGACACUCAGAUGGCAAAAGUUUACUCACAAGCUAUGUACAGCGAGAUCAGAAAAAGGCUAAAGCUGAGCACCCUCUUCACGGUGACGAACAUGGAAGAGCCCACAAAGUACCUUGUACGCUACAACAAACCGCAAACAUCAUCUGCAUGGUCUCAGCAUGCGUUCCAGGUGGUUGCAGACCCCGUGGGAGAAAUAUACGACUGCGAGUGCAAGCUCUGGGACCACACAGGUGAGUACUAA